AGCAGCCGCGGUAAUUCCAGCUCCAAUAGCGUAUAUUAAAGUUGUUGCAGUUAAAAAGCUCGUAGUUGAAUUUCGGGGUUAGUAGGUUGGUCAUGCCUCUGGUAUGUACUGGUCUCACUGAUUCCUCCUUCCUGAUGAACCGUAAUGCCAUUAAUUUGGUGUUGCGGGGAAUUUGGACUGUUACUUUGAAAAAAUUAGAGUGUUUAAAGCAAGCUAACGCUUGAAUACAUUAGCAUGGAAUAAUGAAAUAGGACGUUCGAUCCUAUUUUGUUGGUUUCUAGGAUUGACGUAAUGAUUAAUAGGGAUAGUUGGGGGCAUUAGUAUUCAAUUGUCAGAGGUGAAAUUCUUGGAUUUAUUGAAGACUAACUACUGCGAAAGCAUUUUGCCAAGGAUGUUUUCAUUAAUCAAGAACGAAAGUUAGGGGAUCGAAGACGAUCAGAUACCGUCGUAGUCUUAACCAUAAACUAUGCCGACUAGGGAUCGGAUGAUGUUAAUUUUUUAAUGACUCAUUCGGCGCCUU
rnacentral:sRNA from 1 species